UGUGGAUAGCGGAGAAAUUCCAAUCGAACCCGGAUAUAGCUGGUUCUCCCCGAAAUAGUUUUAGGACUAGCCUCGUGAUCAAGAUUAUCGGAGGUAAAGCACUGAAUGGCCUAGGGGUCGAGAGAUUACCGAAGCCUAUCAAACUCUGAAUGCCGAAUAAUCAUGCACGGGAGUCAGACUGUGUGAGAUAAGUUUCAUAGUCGAAAGGGAAACAGCCCAGACCUACAGCUAAGGUCCCAAAGUACGUUUAAGUGGAAAACGAUGUGAAAUUGCGUAGACAACCAGGAUGUUGGCUUAGAAGCAGCCAUACAUUAAAAGAGUGCGUAAUAGCUCACUGGUCGAGUGACUUUGCGCGGAAAAUUUAACGGGGCUAAAACGUACACCGAAGCUUAGGCUUGUCACAAUGUGACAGGGGUAGGGGAGCGGUGAAUGAGGGGUGAAGUCGUAGCGAAAGCGACGGUGGACUUCAUUCAAGUGAGAAUGCCGGAAUGAGUAGCGAGAAUUAUGUGAGAAUCAUAAUGGCCGAAAGCCUAAGGUUUUUGGAGGAAGGUUCGUCCGCUCCAAGUAAGUCGGAAGCUAAGGUGAGGCUGAAAAGCGUAGCCGAUGCACAAACGGUUGAAAUUCCGUUACCACAGAAAGAUUUAAACUAAGGGACACUUUUGAAGAGCUGAUGCCGGGUGUUGGUUACCCCGGUCGUAAGGGAACGAAAUUAAGUAGUGAAGUCAGCGUGGAUGAAGGCGAGAAAAGCUUAGUGUAUAUCUUAUGUGUCCGUACCGCAAACCGACACAGGUAGGUAGGAAGAGAAUUCUAAGGCCAACGGGAGAAGGGUAGUUAAGGAACUCGGCAAAAUGUCCCCGUAACUUCGGAAUAAGGGGAGGUUUCUACGGAAACCCGCAGAGAAUAGUCCCAGGCAACUGUUUAUCAAAAACACAGCUCUAUGCUAAAUCGAAAGAUGACGUAUAUGGGGUGACGCCUGCCCGGUGCCGGAAGGUUAAGAGGAGGAGUGAGAGCCCUGAAUCGAAGCCCCGGUAAACGGCGGCCGUAACUAUAACGGUCCUAAGGUAGCGAAAUUCCUUGUCAGGUAAGUUCUGACCCGCACGAAUGGCGUAAUGAUCUGGGCACUGUCUCAACAGCCCGCCCGGCGAAAUUGUAGUACCGGUGAAGAUGCCGGUUACCCGCGACUAGACGGAAAGACCCCAUGGAGCUUUACUGUAGCUUAAUAUUGGAUUUCGGCAUUUCAUGUACAGGAUAGGUGGGAGACUAGGAAACAUAGGCGUCAGCUUAUGCGGAGUCGUCCUUGGGAUACCACUCUUGGAGUGCUGAAAUUCUAACCUGCAGCCCUGAAUCGGGUUGGGGGACAUUGUUAGGUGGGCAGUUUGACUGGGGCGGUCGCCUCCAAAAAGGUAACGGAGGCGCUCAAAGGUUGGCUCAGCAUGGAUGGAAACCAUGCUAUAGAGUGCAAACGCAAAAGCCAGCCUGACUGCGAGACUGACGGGUCGAGCAGAAACGAAAGUUGGAGUUAGUGAUCCGGCGGUAUGUGAAUGGAAAUGCCGUCGCUCAACGGAUAAAAGCUACCCUGGGGAUAACAGGCUGAUCUCCCCCAAGCGUCCACAGCGACGGGGAGGUUUGGCACCUCGAUGUCGGCUCGUCACAUCCUGGGGCUGAAUUCGGUCCCAAGGGUUCGGCUGUUCGCCGAUUAAAGUGGCACGCGAGCUGGGUUCAGAACGUCGUGAGACAGUUCGGUCCCUAUCUGUCGUGGGCGAAGGAUAUUUGAAAGGUGCUGUCCCUAGUACGAGAGGACCGGGAUGGACGCACCUCUGGUGCACCAGUUGUCACGCCAGUGGCACAGCUGGGCAGCUAAGUGCGGAUCGGAUAAACGCUGAAAGCAUCUAAGCGUGAAGCCGUCCUUAAGAUAAGAUAUCCCACUUUUAAGUUAAGACCCCUUGUAGACUACGAGGUUGAUAGGUCUAAGGUGUAAGUUGUGUGAGCAAUUUAGCCAGCAGAUACUAAUCGGUCGAGGGCUUAAACCU
rnacentral:rRNA from 1 species